UUCGCAAUGCCCGAAAGGGUGACGAAGCGACGCCGCGUGGAUGAAGAAGGCCUUCGGGUUGUAAAAUCCUGUCAGGAGUUAAGAAAUAUAGGUGCGAUAAUACCGUGCCUAUUUGACAAAGGCUCCAAAGGAAGCCACGGCUAACUCUGUGCCAGCAGCCGCGGUAAUACAGGGGUGGCGAGCGUUGUUCGGAAUUAUUGGGCGUAAAGAGCACGUAGGUGGGUUUGCAAGUCAGAUGUGAAAGCCUUCUGUUCAACGGAAGAAUUGCAUCUGAAACUGCUAAUCUUGAGUAUAGGAGGGGAGAAUGGAACUUCUGGUGGAGCGGUGAAAUGCGUAGAUAUCAGAAGGAACGCCGGCGGCGAAAGCGACUCUCUGGCCUAUUACUGACACUGAGGUGCGAAAGCUAGGGGAGCAAACGGGAUUAGAUACCCCGGUAGUCCUAGCCGUAAACGAUGGGCACUAAGUAGAGGGGUUUU
rnacentral:rRNA from 1 species